AGCGAACGCUGGCGGCAGGCCUAACACAUGCAAGUCGAACGAACUCUUCGGAGUUAGUGGCGGUCGGGGGAGGCACACGGGGGAACGGUCCGUUAUGCACCGAAUAACACAUUGAAACUUGUGCUAAUACCGAAUGAGUCCUUCGGGGGAAAGAUUUAUCGCCUUUAGAGCGGCCCGCGUCCGAUUAGCUAGUUGGGGAGGUAAAGGCUCACCAAGGCGACGAUCAGUAGCUGGUCUGAGAGGAUGAUCAGCCACAUUGGGACUGAGACACGGCCCAAACUCCUACGGGAGGCAGCAGUGGGGAAUCUUGCGCAAUGGGCGAAAGCCUGACGCAGCCAUGCCGGGUGAAUGAUGAAGGUCUUAGGAUAGUAAAAUUCUUUCACCGGGGACGAUAAUGACGGUACCCGGAGAAGAAGCCCCGGCUAACUUCGUG
rnacentral:rRNA from 1 species